UACGGAGGAGGCAAGCGUUAUCCGGAAUUAUUGGGCGUAAAGCGUCCGCAGGUGGCAAAAUCAAGUCUGCCGUCAAAGACCGGGGCUUAACCCUGGAAAGGCGGUGGAAACUGAAUUGCUAGAGUGUCGUAGGGGUAGAGGGAAUUCCCGGUGUAGCGGUGAAAUGCGUAGAGCUCGGGAAGAACAUCGGUGGCGAAAGGCGCUCUACUGGACGACAACGUGACACUCAGGGACGAA
rnacentral:rRNA from 1 species